CCCCUGUAAAAGAGUUAGAGGAAGAGAAUCACAGUGAGAGAGGGGAACCGGCCAGGCAGAGACAGCAAGUGCGGUUCAUCGCUCCAGUACCUUUCCGUUCACCUUCACACCCCUGGGCCAGACUACACUAUCAUAGGACCUACUGAAGAGAUGAGUCUUCAAUAAAGACUUAAAGGUUGAGGCCGAGUGUGCGUCUCUCACAUGGAUAGGCAGACCAUUCCAUAAAAAUUGAGUUCUAUGGGAGAAGGGCCUGCCUCCAGCCUAGAAAUUCUAGGGACAGUAAGGAGGCCUCAUGUCAACAUCAUACUUUCAAAAUCCUAGCUAGCAGUCAUCAUGAAUCAAGUUGACAAUAUACUGGCAAAUCCUUUUCAAUCCUUGUCAUAUGAAGAGAAAUAAUGAAGAGAAAUGAUAGAUAAAACUUAUCGGUGCUCAUCAGCCAUUGGACAUAAACAUUACACAAGUUGGAAAUAGCAAAUUCAACAAUGAGUGGUUUGGAAGGAAUCAGUGACAGUGGCCUUGUGAUCCCAAAUGUGGGAUUAAGGGGCUCUUUUCCAAGUUUAAAAUUGUAUAAACAUUCAAUAUUGGCCAUGCUGUCAAUUAGCAUGAUUUGUGCCGCGCUCAAAACAACUUAAAAACUUGUCUUCAGUGAGUUCAAGACAACUGGGAAGUCGAGAAUAAACGAGCUCUGAUUGGGAAAAUAAGUUUUGAACGGUCAUUCAACUCGGAAUUGUAAAUCUGGCCUCUUUCUAAAGCUACGACCUGGAGAUCAAUGACGCCAUUAUGAUUCGACCUUGUUUUUUUCACAGUUCCAAGUUUAUGAAAGCACCAUAAAUCCAUAGAAUGUUAGACUUUGAUGACAAAAUCUGCUCACGAAGGUCCGCGGUGCCACCUUCCUGUUCAAGUGAAGACAGCACAACAAGGUGAGUCCAAAAAUGUAUUGUAUGCUGCUGCAUAAAUUAUGUAAUAUGCCAGGGAGAUAUGUAUACUGUAGCUAAGAAAGUAAUAGUAAGUGUAUAUUGUGUAGUUAGAUGUUAAUAGCCCACCCUAAUCAUUUGGUCUAUUUACCCCUCUUAAUUUUGCCUACUGUUCUGACUUGGUGGUGCACAUGUAGCCUAUAACCUGCUUUAGAGAAAUGUAAUCAUUGAAUAUUGUAAGAGCUUAUAUGGCCCCUUUAUUUAUCCUACGGUUCUGACUUGGUGUACAGGGACAACAGUGUAAGAACGCCCCAUGUUCUGAAUUUUCUCGCUGUACAUUUCAAGUGCUAAACAGAUAGUUGUAUUGAUUACGUCCGUCCUAGUUCGCUCAUUAAUGUCUUAAUCAAAAUUACGGAUUGCCUCUUAUCCCCAUGUCGUCCCCUUAGGCCAUAGUUUGUACAUCUCAACUAGAUUUGUUUAAGCAAGUCAGCCAUAUCAACUAUGUUUUUUUUAAAGGCCAUAAAUGAGUCAGAAUUAACUGUUUCGCUGGCAGACAAGGCUCCGCUGAUAGCCAGGUGUAUUCAUGGUAAAAUGUUGGGACUGCUUUAUGUAGGCCCUAACAGUUUGGGCACCGUUUGUCAUCAUUUUAUUGCAAUUAAUGUAUUGUUUAGUGUUGUGUAGUGGCUUUGCUCGCAUUCACCCCCCCCUUUUUUUUGCCCCACCAAGAUUGACAUGCUAAGAUGAUUAUUGGUCUGUGAUAUGGGAGGUCUUCAGUUUUAGAGGAAGUGUAGCUCUCUAUGUGCAUGGCAGAAUAAUAGAUUUGUCUACUCUGGGUCUGGGUGGUUAGUUAGUAUGCAGUGUUGCAGACAGGUGCUGCUCUUGGUAAUUGGAGGCAGAGGAUGGAUAACCCAGAGAUGUAUUUGUGUGCCAUUUACAGCUUUUAGUUCUCCACAAGUGGACCAUUACCUAAAAUACAUCUCCACCCCACAGCCUGGCUCUCAUCAUGGCCACAACAAUUAUUUGAGGAAUCCUCACAAAAAUGUUUUGCCAUUGUCAAUGGAUGCCAGAUAUUAGCAUUUUUCUCAUGAAUUGUCUGACAAAAACAUCCCUUUGCUUUAUACCUGGAUUGACUGGAUGACUGGAGAGACUUCCGGCGCCGACAGAGAUGGCCGCCUCGCUUCGCAUUCCUAGGAAACUAUGCAGUAUUUUGUUUUUGUACGUGUUAUUUCUUACAUUGGUACCCCAGGUAAUCUUAGGUUUCAUUACAUACAGCCGGGAGGAACUACUGAAUAUAAGAGCAACAUCAACUCACCAUCAUUACGACCAGGAAUAUGACUUUCCUCAAGCAUUUCGCUACACUCGCAUUAACAUCUGCUAACCAUGUGUAUGUGACAAAUAAAAUUUGAUUUGGAUUGGUAUGAAGUGUCAUUUUAAUAAUUUGUAGAUACCAGUUAAAUCCUUGCUUAACGUAUUGCCUAUAUAAUACAAUUAAUAAAAUAGGCGAUUGUAUACCUUUUAAAUAUUUUUUAAUGAAGCAAAUCCAAAUGAGAAAUGGUUGUAAAAUUAAUAAGAAAUACAUUAUCAAAUGUCUCCAUCUGCUGGCGAAUUAUAGGCCCACCAUUCAACCAUCCACGGACUUCCACUUCUAAUAGGAGCUCUCUCAAUGCACAUGUCUGUGGGGAAAGACCUGAACGGCGGGGAAACACCUGAACGUAGGACACGAACAACAAAAGCCUAAAAUGCUUGUGCGUAAAAGGUACCUGAACGGAGGACACGCACAACAAAAGCUUAAAAUGCUAGUGCGGUAGAGAGGUAGAUAGCUUUUAAAUACUAGCAUUACGCGAUGUUCUUGACAAUUACACAAUUUUCCUCUCAAUAUUAGUUAUUUUCUAUAGAGUUAUAAUCAGUCAUUCAUUUAAAAAUGUUCCUGUGCGUUCUCCUCCAUGGUCAUCCCCCGUUCAGCCAGAAGGACAUUCCACGUCACAAAAUGGGUAUUUUCAUAAAGUUGUUGAUAUUUGCCUACGGCCACUGGAGAGGUUACAGGCCGGUAGGCCUACUCCUUUCAACUCCUGCUGUCCUGAUAUAUCCCUGGUAAGUUCCCUCUAAUAACUGUUAGUGAUGGGUCGUUCGCGAACGAGUCAAGAGCCGGCUCGCAUAUCAGAAGAGCCGAAUCUAUUAAUAAAAAUAUAUAAACAAUGAAUCAUCAAACGAUUUAAAUUAAUAGAAUUAACUCAUUCAAAGAACGAAAAUAUAAAUAAAAUAAUAUAGGCCUAAAUACUCAAGCGCACACAUUCGUUCUGACUGUCUGCUCAGACGAACACUCACCUGUUGUUCCUGUCAGACACGCAGUGUCAACCAAUGAACCAAAGAUGCGUGAGGGAGGGCGGAGCCAACUCACUCUCAGUCACACACUUGGCAGCGGAGGAGAGAGAGGAAGGACAGCUGUGAAAACUACAGCUGGAAAAUGAGUCGGAAGCACAGUAGCAUUUGGAUGCAUUUUAAUAAUGUAGACAUAUGAGAUUUUGUUUUGGCAAAUUCUGCACUAAAGCCGGUUCUACGCACAACCCACACCUGCAUUUGUGAACUGUGCACCCAUCUGCGAAGCUAGCUGUAAGCGAAGCUUCGAGAAACUAGCGGGCCUGCUAGUAAUAGCGGCGGAGCCAGUACCCUCAUACGUGUUUACAUUACAAAGUUAUACUUUAAUUGCAAAUACGUAAUAUAAUUAUUUUUCAUAACAAACCAAUGCAUUUUUAAAUACAUUGUGGUUAAGAGAUGCAAGAGAUGCUAAGAAACAGGUGUCAUAGAUGGAUGUGCAGCUGUCUUCAAAGGUAGAACAAUAGACACUCCCAUCCAGAGCAAUCGCAGGGUCAAGUGCCCCGCCCAAGGGCACAUCAACAAAUCUCCCACCAAGUCAAAUCGGGGACCCAAACCAUAGAACAAGCUCCCAACCGCCAGGCCACCAACCAUCCAAGACGCCCCCGAAUCCAAACUACUUAAGUCGUUUUUUGGGGUAUCUGUACUUUUCUUUACUAUUUAUAUCUUUGCCUACUUCACUACAUAUCUAAACACAAUAAUGUACUUUUUACUCCAUACAUUUUCCCUGACAUCCAAAAUUACAUUUUGACUUAAAUGGUCCAAUUCACACACUUAUCAAGAGAACAUCCCUGGUCAUCCCUACUGCCUCUGAUCUGACAGACAAAUUAUGCCUGAGUGUUGGUGUGCCCCUGGAUAUCAGUAAAUACGUUUUUUUUUAACAAUAAAAUUGUGCUUUCUGGUUUACAUAAUAUAAGGGAAGUUGAUGUUAUUAAUACUUUUACUUUUUAUACUUAAGUAUAUUUAAAACCAAAUACUUUUACUCCGGUAGUAUUUUACUGGGUGACUUUUACUUGAGUCCUAUACUAUUAAGGUAUCUUUACCUUUACUCAAGUAUGACAAUUUAGUACUUUUUCCGCCACUGCCCUAAUCUAUGGAUUUCACAUGACUGGGAAUACAGACAUGUAACUGUUGGUCAGUAUCUGGUGUGACCACCAUUAGCCUCAUGCAACGUAACACAUCUCCUUCACAUAGUGUUUUGAUUGUGGAAUGUUGUCCCACUCCUUAUCAAUGGCUGUGCAAAGUUGCUGGAUAUUGGCGGGAACUGGAACACGCUGUCGUACACGUCGAUCCCAAACAUGUUCAAUGGGUGACAUCUGGUGAAUAUGCAGGCCAUGGAAGAACUGGGACAUUUUCAGCUUCCAGGAAUUGUGUACAGAUCAUUGUGAAAUGGGACUGUGAAUAAUCAUGCUGAAACAUGAGGUGAUGGCAGCGAAUGAAUGGCACGACAAUGAGCCUCAGGAUCUCAUCACAGUAGCUGUGCAUUCAAAUUGCCAUUGAUAAAAUGCAAUUGUGGUCAUUGUAGCUUGUGCCUGCCCAUACCAUAACCCCACCGCCAUCAUGGAUCACUCAGUUCACAAUGUUGAAAUCAGCAAACCGCUCACCGACACGGCGCCAAUCACGGGGUCUGCGGUUGUGAGGCCGAUUGGACGUACUGCCAAAUUCACUAAAACGACGUUGGAGGCGGGUUAAGGUAGAGAAAUUAACAUGUAAUUAUUGACAUUCGUGCAGUCAACAUGCCAAUUGCACGCUCCCUCAAUUUGAGAUAUCUGUGGCAUUGUGUUGUGUGACAACUGCCCAUUUUAGAGCAACCUUUUAUUGUCCACAGCACAAGGUGCAUCUGUGUAAUGAUCAUGCUGUUUACUCAGCUUCUUGAUAUGCCACACCUAUCAGGUGGAUGGAUUAUUUUGGCAAAUUAGAAAUGCUCACUAACAGGGAUGUAAACAAAUUUGUGCAUCAAAUUUGAGCGAGAUAAGCUUUUUGUGAGUAUGGAACAUUUUUGGGAUCUUUUAUUUCAGCUCAUGAAACAUGGGACCAACAAUUUGCAUGUUGAAUUUUAUAUUUUUGUUCAAUGUAAAUGCCUCAUGUAGUAUUAGAUCGGUAAUAUUGUUUAAAGAUGCACUAUGCAGAAAUCACUCCUCCAUUUCCUGGUUGCUAAAAUUCCAAUAUUUCGCUUAAUUUCAGUUUAUGUGACAAAACCAGUAAGUAUAGUUUAGUGAAUCAUUGUACCAUCUAAACUGUCAUAAAAUAUAUUUUCCAUAACCAAAAAUAUUGUAUUUUCAGCUGUUUGAAGCUAGUGUCCAAAACCGAAAGUAAAAGAAGCAAAAACAAAACUUAAGAACCGGGACACAUAGAAAUAGCCCACAUACAGUAGAACAGAUUUACGGCUUCUUAGACUUGCUUUCAUUGAGAAUGGCAGAUCUAUAACACAUUUCUAUGUGAAUUUGGUUGGGUCAGCCAAAAAGUUACAUAGCGCAGAUUUGAGUGAAGUCCCCACCAUGCUUCAGAAUGAAUGUUUCAUGCAAUCUGCUCUUAUCAUCACUCUGCAUUAGUGUACACUUUUGUUAACCAUGACUAACCUCUACUACCUAGGAAGGCACAAACACUACAUGACCAAAAGUAUGUGGAUACCUGCUCGUCGAACAUCUCAUUCCAAAAUCAUGGGCAAUAAUAUGGAGUUGGCUGCUAUAUCAGCCUCCACUCUUCUGGGAAGGCUUUCCACUAGAUGUUGGAACAUUGCUGCAGGGCCUUGCUUCCAUUCAGCCACGAGCAUUAUUGAGGUCGGGCACUUAAUGUUGGGCGAUUAGGCCAGGCUCGCAGUCUGCAUUCCAAUUCAUCUCAAAGGUAUUUGAUGGGGUUGAGGUCAGGGCUCUGUGCAGGCCAGUCAAGUUCUUCAACACAACUGUUGCCACAAAGUUGGAACCACAGAAUCGUCUAGAAUGUCAUUGUAUGCUGUAGCGUUAAGAUUUCCCUUCACUGGAACUAAUGGGCCUAGCCCGAACCAUAAAAAAACAGCCACCAAAUUUUACAGUUCGCACUAUGUAUUGAGCCAGGUUGUGUUGUCCUGGCAUCCGCCAAACCCAGAUUUUUAUCCGUCGGACUACUAGAUUGUAAAGCGUGAUUCAUUACUCCAGAGAACGCGUUUCCAAAGUCCAAUGGUGGCAAGCUUUACACCACUCCAGCAAAAGCUUGGCAUUGCGCAUGGUAAUCUUAGGUUCGUGUGCGGCUGCUCGGCCAUAGAAACCCAUUUCAUGAAGCUCCCGACGAACAGUUAUUGUGCUGACGUUGCUUCCAGAGGCAGUUUUGAACUUGGUAGUGAGUGUUGCAACCGAGGACAGACUAUUUUUACGCGCUAUGCGCUUCAGCACUCGAUGGCAUCCUAUGACGGUGCCACGUUGAAAGUCUAUGCAUAGUCACUUUAAUUACUCUACCUACAUGUACAUGACCUUAAUACCAGUGCCCAUGUACAUUGACUCUGUACCGGUCAGUACCCAUUGUAUAUAGUCUUGCUUUUGUUAUUUACUGCUGCUCUUAAAUUACUUGUUCUUCUUAUCUCUUACUUUUUGGUGGGUAUUUUCUUAACUGCAUUGUGACAAAUAAAAUUUGUUUUGAGCUCUUCAGUAAGGCCAGGAGAAUGAAUGGCUGUGUUCCCGAUUGUAUAGCCCUGUCAGCGAUGGGUGUGGCUGAAAUAGCCAAAUCCACUAAUUUUAAGGGGUGUCCACAUACUUUUGUAUAUAUAGUGUAGAAGGGCAUAGUACAGAACAUUAUAAGGUCAACCUCAAGAAAACACUUUUUAAGUUGAAAUUAAAAUGCAUUCUGUCACAAAUGCUUAGCACUCUACUGCAUUGCAUCCAUCAGGUCAGAGUGUGUCCCCAUUAGCCCAUUUGGUCCAUGAGAGAUCCCAGGAGACUGUUCUCUGGGGGGGCUGGAGUUCUAGCAGAUGGGCCACUAUGGACUCAUCUGCAGAAGCACACUCUGGAGAGGACAUAUCUACUGCUGUGGUGGUCAAGACACUCAGGGGUAUGCUCUUGUACUGCACAGCGCUAUCAGAGGCUGUGUGUGUGUGUGGAACAUAGUUGCAUCUAUUUGGAGUGUUUGCCUCAAGAAAGUUUGAGUUAUGGAAUAGAUUUGUGAGUACCUCACAGGUAAAAACAAUACAUUUUGGAAUUGACCUCUUAGCGGGAAUUUCUCAUCCCACUGUAUUAAAUAGAAAAACAAGUUAAGUGGAUAUUGUUCCUUUUGAUAAGUUGAAAACUUUGGUGAAAUCUCUUACGUGCAGUAUACUGUGUCUCCUUUCAAAUGGCUUAAAACAGCCUGAGGCAAGAGUUUGUGGACGGGAUCCUUUUCCAUGGGACAAUGUGUAAACAUCUCCACCUGGUCCAGUCCAGAUGCUGUGGUGCCAGUACGAACCACUACCCAUGUACCUGGUUCUGUAGUCCUGGCAACCUCCUGCAUUACCUAUGGACCCUGAGGAAUGUAAGACAACAAAGGCCGGGACUUCACGUUCAACUUAGCUGUAACUACUUUGCUGAAAUCGUACUCAGCAGUGCUCUUACUAAUCAACUAUGUUGAAUAAUUCUAUUCCCAAUAUUAUGUAAAAUCAUUAUUACAUUUUUCAGAUACAUUUAAUUAAAAGGUUCAGAGAGAAAUAAUUGGUCCAUUUAAUUUCAGACAUUUAAUUCCAGUCAUCCACUGACUUAAAUAAGAUUAAAUAAAUUUCCCUGUUCUCCAAAGGGAUUCAGAGUCCUUGGAUCCACUCCAGCACUUUUCAGAGAGAUCAGUGUUUUUGGUGGCAAAGAAGAUGGCAGCAGGCCAACAUGACAAGCUGGCCAAUCAGGGGACAGCUGAUGUCCCUCUCAAAUGGCAGGUUCCAGAGAGGAUGAAGCAUCCAACUAGACAGGAGUGAUGUGUGAGCGUUGGGACUUAAUCUGUGUUUGGGAAUCUGCCCCCGUAGCCUAGAGUAUACGUAGAUGCUUGUUUAAUUAACGUUCUGACUAAAUAUUUCUACAUGCCUUUGUUGCUUUUUGUAAUAUCAACAUGCUUGAUAGCGGUUUUCCUCUCACCCUCAGAUGAUCUUUUGGAAUCUAUACGUCAUAUAUGAAUUGAUCACAUUGGGUAACUGUUACCUUGCACAUAUCUGAUUUAAAGUAAUUUUGCAAAUAUACCUCACCAAUAAGCUAACAAAAUUUAGGGUGACCAGUUUUAGUGGAGGAAAAAAAGUCUGUAUAAUAUUCUCAUUAAACAAAAAUGUAUAUUCAAUCACUCCACAGCCAAGUAAAGCCUGUUAUUAGCUGUGUACCGCCUCCAUGUUGUGGCCACCUAUUUAAUGUCAUUGGGCUCUCAUUCUGUGCUAUUCAGAUCUCUCAGGUAUGGAUGUGGAGCUUCAAGGACCGGCCUGUGUUCUCCGCCAUCAUCAAGCUUCUGGAGUCCUACACAUACCUGAUACUAGACAUCUACAUCCCAGAGGGCAUAGACAUCUUUGACUACACCAAGAGGGCAGGUGUGCUCCUCUAAAUAUCUAGCCUAAAGCAUCACAUUCAUGAAUGAAGAGGCUAAAAGCAAGCAGGGGCAGACUGGCCAUCUGGCAAAUGCCAGAUGGCCGGUCCAUUUUUAGCUCAGUGAGUUUAACUUUUUUUUGUUCAAAAUUAUUAUCUGGCGAUAAACUAGAAAUUGGCCAGUGAGGGGGGCCUCGAAAAUAAAUGGCCUGGCGUGAUAAACGCCAGGGCCAAUUUCUGGUCCCAGUCUGCCCCUGAAAGCAAGGAUUUGGUCCCUUACAAAGCAUUGCUGUAGUUGAUUCUAGGUUCAGGUGUACUGUGGCAUCAACAUCAAGAGAGAUUUUAUUAAACCUAGAUUAAAUGUUGUAAAUUAUUUAACAUAAGGGUGUGUAAGUAUUGUAUGGCGAAUGCAACCUAUAGCCUUAUUGUAAGAUUGUACACAUGUUGUAGAACACUGGGGAUUUUUGGAUGAGUGAGAAUUUCAGCACAAAAUGGAUGUCAGGAAGAAAAAUCUUCUAAUGUUAUUGUCACGUCACAAUUGCUCACCUCACAUGUUUGGUCCAUCAGUAGUGAGUUAUUUUUUGAAAUUGUACAGAUGUAAUAAGCGUUCUUGAUGUCAUCUUGUCAUGAAACCAGGCAAGUCAUUAUAAAUCACCACUUUUUAUUGUCAAAAGGUACAGAAUAAAAAAUACAGAUCUUCAUAAGACGAUUACUGGUUUAUAAUUGGGUGAGUAUCACUCUUGUGCAUUGAACUGUAGUAAUGAGGCAUGUAUUGUGGUCAUACAGUUGAAGUCUUGAAGUCACUGAUCAUGCUACGCAAAAUUGGCCUUUAAGUGUACUUCACUCCCUCUACGCUGUUGAUUUUGUUCAUAAAAUUGCACGUCAUUGACCAUGAUGUUAACAAACCAGCAGUUUGGACCACGUGGAGGUGACAUUUAUAGGUGUACUGUAGAGUUGCUGUUGUCAGUCUCAAGACAUUUCAAAACAAACUCGUCACAUUGUCUCCAUCACUCACACACAUCUAAAAUCCUAAAGCGAGGCACAAACCGCCAUUUUCAUAACACACCCAGUCAUGCGGAAAUGGAAUAAGUCCUUGCUCGACCGACUGGAUCAAGAACAGGAAUAUCUAGAUAUUUUCACACUACUGAGCAGAGCCGAACCAAGCCAAGAUGAGCAGGACUAGUUACACAUAAACCAUAGUUACUGGAACAGUGCUGGAAAGGACAGCAGGAAAGGAAAUGAUCCAAGCCAGCACAGUUCGGGCCGGCACUAGUGUUAUGGAAAAAAAAUAA